rnacentral:RNase_P_RNA from 1 species
CCGGUGGGUCGCUCUGUCGCUCCUCUUAAUGAGGGGAGGAAAGUCCGGACAGGAUAGAGCGGGACUUUGUGGAAAUCACAGCUGGGGGUAACUUCAGGUAAAUCGUAACAGAAAAUAACCGCCUUUAAUCAGGUAAGGGUGAAAAUGCGGGGUAAGAGCCCACAACCGGUUGCGGCGACGCCGCCGGGGUACGAAACAGUCUCCUGCAAGGCCAAAUAUACCGGCAGCCAAGGGCUGCUCGCUCUUUGCCGGGGGGUAGGCUGCUCAGAUAAAUGACAGGGGCCCCGAAAGGGGAACAGAAUCCGGCUUACAGACCCACCUUUUUU